AUGCCGCGUGAGGGAAGAAGGGUUUCGGCUCGUAAACCUCUGUCCUAUGGGACGAAGGAAGUGACGGUACCUUACGACGAAGCCCCGGCUAACUACGUGCCACCAGCCGCGGUAAUACGUAUGGGGCGAGCGUUGUCCGGAAUGAUUGGGCGUAAAGGGCGCGUAGGCGGCCUGCUAAGUCUGGAGUGAAAGUCCUGCUUUCAAGGUGGGAAUUGCUUUGGAUACUGGUGGGCUGGGGUGCAGGAGAGGAAAGCGGAAUUACCGGUGUAGCGGUGAAAUGCGUAGAG
rnacentral:rRNA from 1 species